UACACUCCUGCGGGAGGCAGCAGUGGGGAAUAUUGGACAAUGGGCGCAAGCCUGAUCCAGCCAUGCCGCGUGAGUGAUGAAGGCCCUAGGGUUGUAAAGCUCUUUCACCGGUGAAGAUAAUGACGGUAACCGGAGAAGAAGCCCCGGCUAACUUCGUGCCAGCAGCCGCGGUAAUACGAAGGGGGCUAGCGUUGUUCGGAUUUACUGGGCGUAAAGCGCACGUAGGCGGACUAUUAAGUCAGGGGUGAAAUCCCGGGGCUCAACCCCGGAACUGCCUUUGAUACUGGUAGUCUUGAGUUCGAGAGAGGUGAGUGGAAUUCCGAGUGUAGAGGUGAAAUUCGUAGAUAUUCGGAGGAACACCAGUGGCGAAGGCGGCUCACUGGCUCGAUACUGACGCUGAGGUGCGAAAGCGUGGGGAGCAAACAGGAUUAGAAACCCCGGUAGUCC
rnacentral:rRNA from 1 species